GACGAACGCUGGCGGCAUGCCUAACACAUGCAAGUCGAGCGAGUGGAGUUCUUCGGAACAAAGCUAGCGGCGGACGGGUGAGUAACACGUGGGCAACCUGCCUCAUAGAGGGGAAUAGCCUUCCGAAAGGGAGAUUAAUACCGCAUAAGAUUGUAGCUUCGCAUGAAGUAGCAAUUAAAGGAGCAAUCCGCUAUGAGAUGGGCCCGCGGCGCAUUAGCUAGUUGGUGAGGUAACGGCUCACCAAGGCGACGAUGCGUAGCCGACCUGAGAGGGUGAUCGGCCACAUUGGGACUGAGACACGGCCCAGACUCCUACGGGAGGCAGCAGUGGGGAAUAUUGCACAAUGGGGGAAACCCUGAUGCAGCAAUGCCGCGUGAGUGAUGACGGCCUUCGGGUUGUAAAGCUCUGUCUUCAGGGACGAUAAUGACGGU
rnacentral:rRNA from 1 species